rnacentral:lncRNA from 1 species
UCCAAACUUAAGCCUCAACGUGUCCCCAAAACAACUGAUGCUCAUCAAGAUGAUAUCUUAGCUAUAAACCCAUAAGCCCACAGGCCUGAGGAGCACCUGCCAUGUUAGCAAAACUAACAUCUUAACUUAAAAAUCAUUUCACAGCAAAAAUUGACUCUGCCUAAGAGUAAGACCAAUUCUGCAUGGCAGGUGGAAUUGCCUAUUUGAUUGGUGUACCUGAAAGUGACAGGGAGAAUGGAACCAAGUUGGAAAACACUCUUCAGGUUAUUAUCAAGGAGAAUUUUCCUAACAUAGCAAGACAGGCCAACAUUCAAAUUCAGGAAAUACAGAGAACACCACAAAGAUACUCCUUGAGAAGAGCAACCCCAAGCUACUCCCCAAUGGUAGUAAGAGCAUUGCACUGGCAACGUGACCUAGUGAAGUUUGGAAAGUCUAAAACAGUGGACUGACCCAUUGUAUUUCUGGAAUAUAAAGGAAAGCAGCUGGAACUCUCGAUGAAAGUAAUGAAAUUGAUCAGAAACUGGAUGGGUCACCACUACAUAUGCAGUCACCCAAAGAGUC